UCAGAUUACAUUGUGACAACGAAAUUCAGCUCAAGCACUAAAAAAGCUCCUGGUCAAAUUGAGAACGGUGAUGACAAUGAGCUUGUCGCAGGACUUGCUGUUGGUAUUUCCAUAAGCAUCAUAUUAAUUUUGUUGUUGGUUGGGUCUCUCCUUUAUGUGAUGCGUCGUCCAGAAAAGGCUUCAGCGUUGCCUAUUAUAAGAAUGUUAUACCGACAACGAAGGGAUAACACAACCGACGCUCACGUGUACGAUAGGCCUGAAACAAUAGCG